ACACCUAACUGCUAGCCCCCCACCCAUUUUUAAACCACCAAUAUUUAUAAUAAUAAAUAACAUAAAAACCCCCAAACAAACCAUUUUUUACCCUAGUAAAGGAGAUAGAAAAGGAAACAGGAGCAAUAGAUAAAGUACCGCAAGGGAACGCUGAAAGAAAAAUGAAACAAAUUAAAUAAGUGAAACAUAGCAGAGAUUUACCCUCGUACCUUUUGCAUCAUGAUUUAGCAAGUAAAGCUCAAGCAAAGAGACCUAUAGUUUGAGACCCCGAAACUAAGCGAGCUACUCCAAGACAGCCCAAUUGGGGCAAACCCGUCCCUGUGGCAAAAGGGUGGGAAGAUCUUUGAGUAGAGGCGAUAAACCUACCGAGCAUAGUUAUAGCUGGUUGUUUGAGAAAUGAAUAGAAGUUCAGCUCUCCAGCUUCCCAACCCCUCUUAGUAUAACUAAUAUUGGCCCCAGGAAACUAGAGAAGUUAGUUAAAGGAGGUACAGCUCCUUUUUAAUAGAAACACCUUUUACAGAUGGUCAAAGAUCAAA
rnacentral:rRNA from 1 species